GUUAAACAUGAAGGACAAUGGCCCUAAAGGACUGGAAUUGCUCAUCUCUUUUUCUAAAAAGUAACCAUCCACCAGCUUCUUCGUGCUUUCUGCAGACUCAAAGGUUAAUGGCAGUGAGACAGUGGAGUAACACUCCGACAAUGAAAACCUGCAAAAUACAAGAAAACGACUUCACAAGCGGGAAUUAUUACAUGGAUUUGAGAGACGCUUGCCUUAUGGACUGUUCCAUGGCGGUCCCAGACCACAAACGGGGACCAUCUGGCAACUUAGACUGGAUUUGGAGAAUCUGGGAACAUCAAUUUUCAAGACCGGCUGCAGAUUUUCAAUUGGAUUUAAGAAUGUAUUUUGAAUGAUCAGUUCUAACAAAUGAAUAUGAUUUGAACUGGUUAUUCUGCAAGAAGACAAACCUCCAUCCCAGUUUGAAGUUUCUUGUAGCAGUAGGUUUUCCUGGAGUUCCCUGUAUUUAGUUCCAUCCAGCUUCCCAUCAACCUUGACCAGCUUUGUUAUCCCUGCUGAAGAAAAGUACUCACACAGGAUCAAGCUGCCACCAUCAUGUUUCACUGUGGCAAUGGUAUGUUUAAGAGUUGUUCCUGCAGAACAAAAAGUUCAACCUUGGUCUCAUCUGAAAAGAGCACCUUCACCCACAUGUUUGCUAUAGAUUAAGGUGGUGUGCUGUCCCACCACAGUUUUGGAUUUCUGCAGAUCCUCCGGUUACCUCAGGCCUUUUUGCCGCUUCUCUUAUUAAUUAUUAUAUCCUUAUUUCUAAACGAUUUUGAAAGGCAUGUAUCGUUUUACUUUGUAUUUGCAAUUAUCCGCUACUACCAUGUAAAAUCCCAAGAAAGUACACUAAAGUUUGUGGUUGCAGCAUGACAAAAUGUGGAAAGCUUUCAAGGAUAUGAAUAUCAAUAAUGAUCUAUUGAACCAAACAUUAGUGGAACAAUCUACAGUAUUUGUCACUCAUAUUGACAAAAACAAAAUACCUAUGGAUGUUAACAAAUUUAUUGAGGCACAUCAUGCAAUAAUGUCUCCUUAUUAGACCUUUUUAUAGUUGAUAUCAGUGCAAUUAAGCACACAGAAAGAGCUGUGCUGCAACUUUAAGCUAACGAAUUGUUUACAUUUCACAUAUUAAAAGGAAUAAUACAACAAUCUUUAAAACUUCACAUGCAAAUGCUUUCACUCGUUAAUGCCCUCAGAAAUCUUGCCUACUUUAUAUUCUUUUUUAGCUUUGCAGUAAUAAUGAUUCUGACUUGUACAGCAACAACAAAGUACACUUGUUUGUUCCCUUGCUUACAGAUAAAGCACUCGAGUAUGGAGCGCCAGCUGUUGCCUGCAGUACAGUAUGCUAAUUACCGCAGCUUUGCAAGAAAGGAUAUGCAUAAGAGCAUACAGUAUUGCUUCAGUUGAGUGUGAAGUGCAGAUAUGUGAAUAAAAAUGUUGCUGUCAAUUUUAAA